rnacentral:rRNA from 1 species
GAUGCUCCGCUCCAUCGCAUGGUGGGGUGGGAAAUGCUUUUGCGGCAUGGGAUGGGGUCGCGUCCUAUCAGCUUGUUGGCGGGGUGAUGGCCCACCAAGGCGUUGACGGGUAGCCGGCCUGAGAGGGUGACCGGCCACAUUGGGACUGAGAUACGGCCCAGACUCCUACGGGAGGCAGCAGUGGGGAAUAUUGCACAAUGGGCGCAAGCCUGAUGCAGCGACGCCGCGUGCGGGAUGGAGGCCUUCGGGUUGUAAACCGCUUUUGUUCAAGGGCAAGGCACGGUUUCGGCCGUGUUGAGUGGAUUGUUCGAAUAAGCACCGGCUAACUACGUGCCAGCAGCCGCGGUAAUACGUAGGGUGCGAGCGUUAUCCGGAUUUAUUGGGCGUAAAGGGCUCGUAGGCGGUUCGUCGCGUCCGGUGUGAAAGUCCAUCGCCUAACGGUGGAUCUGCGCCGGGUACGGGCGGGCUGGAGUGCGGUAGGGGAGACUGGAAUUC